CCCAGACCUUGAUCAGUUAGGUCAGAGCCACAACAGAUGAACCAGGUGCUGCUGAUCCAGGCCUAUAGCAGAGAGCUGUACUCAGAGGCCACAUGGUUUUUGUUACUUGCUUACCUCUCACUGUACUCAGAUCCCUUCAUGAAUCUGUAUAAAAAGCCGAUGAAUUCCCAAACUCUGCAACACACACAGACACACACACACACACACACACACACACAUUCGCGCACACACACACACAUUCGCGCACGCACACACACACACAAACAGACACACACACACACGCACACCACACACAGACACACACAUACACACACACACAUGCACACCACACACAGACACACAGACACACACACAAACAGACACACACACACGCACACCACACACAG
rnacentral:lncRNA from 1 species